AGUUGUUUCAGAACGACACGUCAGUGGACGUGGCAGAGUGAACACGUGACGGGGAGGUGCUGAGACCUAGCGGAGAACGGAGGAACCGCAAGCGAGGGUUGGCGCACCUGAUGGAAUUCGGUGACGUCACGGGCUCAUACGGAGACGUGGACAGGCCGUGACCUUGUUUUGAUCAGCUGUACGGUAACUUGGCGAUAAGAAAAUAGACUAUUGGUUAAAUAAAUUUAAAUUUAAGUGUGUUUUAGGAGAAGAGGAACUUUCAGUAUAUUCCUUAAGAUUAGCUGAGCAGCAGUCCAGUUUACAAGAUGACAAGAGUUCGAGAGACAAGAUACAAGAUCACUGAAACAAGAGCCAAGACUGAAGAUUCAAGAGAAGAGAAAGCUGGCAGCCAUGGACUUACAAGUGGAGAUUAAUAAGGUCAUGUAAAGUUUUAUUUUUUUUUUAUGGAAGACAGUAACUGGAGUUUUUUUUUGUUAUAAACAUUAUUUACAGAAAUUUUUAGGUUAUAGUAAUGUAAUGGAACUAGUGAGUUGUGGUAGCUGUCAAAAAGAACUAAUACCUUAAGUUUAAUUUUUAAAGUUAAUUUUCUUAAUUUACAGAGGGAUUAGUAGUUUUUUUUAAAACCUUAUUUAGGUUGGAAUUUCAAUACAAUAGCUUAUUAUAAAUGUGUACGAACAGUUCAAGUUCACCGUACUGAUAGGUAGGUCAGAUGAUCUUAUUGAUUUUGAUGAUUUGUUGUUUUGAGUUGAUUUUUAGGUGUUGUGAAUUAGACAAUGAAAUAGUUUUGAAAACUUAAAUUAUUUCAAGCUAAGAAAUAGUAAAUUUAAUUGUAACUCAAAGGACACCAGAAUUUAAUUUUUUUUUGAAUUAGUAAUGUUUGAAAAUUUUAUACUUUACCAGAAAGGUUAUAAACAAACAGAUCGGAUGGAACAAGGAUGCAGUAAAUCACAAUUUCAUUUAGAAUUAUUGAUUUGCUUUUGAGGUUAUGAAGGAAAAGUAGCUAUAAUUUAAAAAUUUGAAUAAAAAUGGUUUUUUUUUAUUUGUUUGAAAUAGAAAGUUUAAAAGUUAAUUAGUCAUGAUCUAGGUGGGUGAUGGGGUGGGAAUUGGCCACUCUUUUUCCCUAUAACCUCCCUAACAUGGCCUUCUAUUACAUCUAACAGAAGAAAAAAAAAAGAAGAAAAAGAAGACUUAGUAUUAGUUAGAAUGUUUUUUCAUGAAGAUACCUGAUGAACUUUUUUUUUAUUGUUGGGAAGAAUAGUAGCAAGAUUAAUCAGAUGUUUUACUCA